UGACCCCUGUUAUGUGGCAAGAGUGGGCUCGAGAUGAAGCUUCUAUUUCAACUGGACCUGAGGCAUUUCUGGGGAUUGAGAAGAUUUAUGAAAGAGGAGUUUCUGAUUAUUUGUCUGUCUCACUUUGGUGUGACUGCUUGAUAUUUGUGCAAGAAUAUGAUCCAUCU